CAUUAAAUGACUGAAAAAGUAUUGAUUUUUUAAAUCAAAUUAUAAUAGAAAACUACUCUAUUUUUAAUGA
rnacentral:tRNA from 1 species